UUCUUUCCAUUGACUGGAUGCUGUUUUCACAGGACCAAAUAAGUCAAUGUGAAGAAGCUCCAGAGGCUUAGAGGUAGAAACAACAAUUUUUCUUUUUAAAAGAUGUUUUGAAAACUUUCCUUUCUGACAAGCUUCACACAGAGCAUCUGAAGAGAACUUCAGUUUAGGUAAGCCUCUGACUAACUCAAGUUUAGUUAGCUGAGAAAGCUUUCUCAUGCUAAUGUGGCCUAAGCGUCU
rnacentral:lncRNA from 1 species